rnacentral:rRNA from 1 species
GAGUUUGAUCCUGGCUCAGGACGAACGCUGGCGGCGUGCCUAACACAUGCAAGUCGAGCGAUGAAGCUCCUUCGGGAGUGGAUUAGCGGCGGACGGGUGAGUAACACGUGGGUAACCUGCCUCAUAGAGGGGAAUAGCCUCCCGAAAGGGAGAUUAAUACCGCAUAAUGUAUGAGAAUCGCAUGACUUUUGUACCAAAGGAGCAAUCCGCUAUGAGAUGGACUCGCGGCGCAUUAGCUAGUUGGUGAGGUAAAGGCUCACCAAGGCGACGAUGCGUAGCCGACCUGAGAGGGUGAUCGGCCACAUUGGAACUGAGACACGGUCCAGACUCCUACGGGAGGCAGCAGUGGGGAAUAUUGCGCAAUGGGGGAAACCCUGACGCAGCAACGCCGCGUGAAUGAAGAAGGCCUUAGGGUUGUAAAGUUCUGUCAUAUGGGAAGAUAAUGACGGUACCAUAUGAGGAAGCCACGGCUAACUACGUGCCAGCAGCCGCGGUAAUAC